UCGUUGUUUGUCUCAAGAAGUUCCACUCGAAUUUUGCUAUCUCACAGUGCGGUUUUGAGUUCUUCUAUUUUCCCUUUCAACUCUUCGAUCCUGCUCAGACUAGCCUUUAGCUUAAUUAUCGAAUUAUGGCUAUGAUGUUGCUGAAGUAAUCUUUCCAAUUCAGCCACCUGAGCUCGUAACUUCUCCUUUUCAUUUUGGGUUUCUAACAAACUCUUCUUCAGAGUGUCCUCUCGUACUCGGGCAUCUUGAAAUCUUUUCUCCCAAUGGUUGGCUCUAGUAUUUUCCUCUUUAAUCUCUUGACGCCAUUGUUCCGACGUUUUACCUAAUCCGGCAGUUUUUAUUGUUAUACGAAGCUUCUUGUAAUCGGUUUUUAGACUAUCUAAAUCUUC
rnacentral:lncRNA from 1 species